UGAGUACGAGAUGCUACGGCAUCGAAGCAGUCUAUGUCAUACUUCCAAGAAAAGCUUGCAAUGUCAUAAACAAAUAAUGCCUGUACCAUAACCGACACAGGUGGGUAGGUAGAGUAUACUAAGGGGCGCGAGAUAACUCUCUCUAAGGAACUCGGCAAAAUGACUCCGUAACUUCGGGAGAAGGAGUGCCUUAUUUUUAUAAGGUUGCAAUAACAAGAUCCAAGCAACUGUUUACCAAAAACACAGGUCUCCGCUAAGUCGUAAGACGAUGUAUGGGGGCUGACGCCUGCCCAGUGCCAGAAGGUUAAAGAAGUUGGUUAGCAUUAGCGAAGCUGAUAACUGAAGCCCUGGUGAACGGCGGCCGUAACAAUAACGGUCCUAAGGUAGCGAAAUUCCUUGUCGGGUAAGUUCCGACCCGCACGAAAGGCGUAAUGAUUUGGAUACUGUCUCGGAGAGGGGCUCGGUGAAAUAGACUUGUCUGUGAAGAUGCGGACUACCUGCACCUGGACAGAAAGACCCUAUGAAGCUUUACUGUAACUUGAGAUUGAAAUUGGACUUUAUCUGCGCAGUAUAGGUGGGAGACGUUGAAAAUAUUCUUGCGGGAAUAUUGGAGUCAUCAGUGAGAUACCACUCUUAUAAUGUUAGAUUUCUAACUUUGUAUCAUUAUCUGGUCAAAGAACAGUUUCAGGCGGGCAGUUUGACUGGGGCGGUCGCCUCCCAAACGGUAACGGAGGCGCACAAAGGUUUCCUCUGAACGUGUAGAAAUCGUAUCUAGAGUGUAAAGGCAUAAGGAAGCUUGACUGUGAGACCUACAAGUCGAGCAGGGACGAAAGUCGGUCUUAGUGAUCUGACGGUGCUGAGUGGAAAGGCCGUCACUCAACGGAUAAAAGUUACUCUAGGAUAACAGGCUGAUCUCCCCCAAGAGUUCACAUCGACGGGGAGGUUUGGCACCUCGAUGUCGGCUCAUCGCAUCCUGGGGCGGUAGUACGUCCCAAGGGUUGGGCUGUUCGCCCAUGAAAGCGGUACGCGAGCUGGGUUCAGAACGUCGUGAGACAGUUCGGUCCAUAUCCGGUGUAGGCGUUAGAAUAUUGAGAGGAGCCUUCUUUAGUACGAGAGGACCGAGAAGGACAUACCUCUGGUGUACCAGUUAUCGUGCCAACGGUAAACGCUGGGUAGCCAUGUAUGGAGAGGAUAACCGCUGAAAGCAUCUAAGUGGGAAGCCCACCUCAAGAUAAG
rnacentral:rRNA from 1 species